CCGCCCCCGCCCCCGCCCCCCGCCGCCGCUUGCUGAGACGGAACCUAUAGGCAGGACUACUUCUGAAAUGCCGAGACAUGACAUAGAUCAUAAAGCAUGAUGUAGAGGAGCUUGCGAAGAAAACCUGGUUAUGAUAUUCUUCAAUCAGAGAAGUUUCAGAUAUUUCUAAUCUCAAGUAUUAAUCUAACUAGUGCCCUAAAUGAAACAAUUUUUAUCAUGAUUUGUGAAGUUUUUAUUUCUUGACUUAGUGUGUGUGUGUGUGUGUAUAUAUACAUACAUACAUAUGUAUGUAUACAUACAUACAUAUGUAUGUAUGUAUGUAUCUUUGUAUGGAUGUUGUAUGUAUGUAUGUAUGUAUGUAUGUAUGUAUGCUUCUCGUUGAAAGGCAGAAGCUCUUAAAUAAGUCACUAAUGUUUUGUCUAAGUUAUUUUGA